UACAGAGGUCUCAAGCGUUGUUCGGAUUCAUUGGGCGUAAAGGGUGCGUAGGUGGCGCGAUAAGUCGGGUGUGAAAUCUCGGAGCUUAACUCCGAAAUUGCAUUCGAUACUGCCGUGCUCGAGGACUGGAGAGGAGACUGGAAUUCAUGGUGUAGCAGUGAAAUGCGUAGAUAUCUGGAGGAACACCGGUGGCGAAGGCGGCAUCCUGGACCGGUAUUGACGCUGAGGCGCGAAAGCCAGGGGAGCAAACGGG
rnacentral:rRNA from 1 species